UAAUACUCUUCGCGAUUGACUCCGGUAGGUAUACGUGCCAUCUACGCCCACAUAUCAGGGGAUGGACCUCGGAUCAGGUAGGGAUACCCGCUGACUUAAGCAUAUCAAAAGGGGAGAGAGAAA
rnacentral:rRNA from 1 species